GUAAGGAAUAUUGGUCAAUGGAGGCAACUCUGAACCAGCCAUGCCGCGUGCAGGAAGACGGCCCUCUGGGUUGUAAACUGCUUUUAUCUGGGAAGAAAAAGGCCAUGCGUGGCAAAUUGCCGGUACCAGAUGAAUAAGCACCGGCUAACUCCGUGCCAGCAGCCGCGGUAAUACGGAGGGUGCGAGCGUUGUCCGGAUUUAUUGGGUUUAAAGGGUGCGUAGGCGGCUGAUUAAGUCAGCGGUGAAAGACUUCGGCUUAACCGGAGCAGUGCCGUUGAUACUGGUUGGCUUGAGUGUCGGAGGGGUACAUGGAAUUGAUGGUGUAGCGGUGAAAUGCAUAGAUACCAUCAGGAACACCGAUAGCGAAGGCAUUGUACUGGCCGACAACUGACGCUGAUGCACGAAAGUGUGGGGAUCGAACAGGAUUAGAUACCCGUGUAGUCC
rnacentral:rRNA from 1 species